rnacentral:sRNA from 1 species
UUUUCUAAAAGCGUCCAGGGGGAUAUUUUAUUUGUAAUUUACAAAAAAUGUUUUCCCAAAAACAAAUUUUCGCUUAAACAUUUCUUUAGUUAUCCAAAAUAAGAAAAAAAGUCAAUAAAUACAUUAAAGAUAGGAAUAAAUAUAUUAAAGAAAAGUGUCACAAAAAAUUAAACAAAAACUUGUCGAAAAAAAUGCCGGCAAAAUCUCCUGGCUAGGAAAACCAGCUGCAAAUUUAGAAAUUAUAACGAAAAACGACGAUGUAAAGAAAGUCAUGCAUUGCCGGGUUUACGGUGAACGGCCGGCCGUUGUUAUUUAUCGAGAGCACCCAUUCUGCAAUAAGGGUUGUGUGUCACAUUUUCUACAUGAAAUUGUUUGAAUAAAACAGAGAGUUUUUCAAUAGACCCCAAAUUACUUUGCCUGUGGCUUUCUAUUGGCGGACAAUCAAAUGUAAACCAUGGAAAAUUUUAAAAGAUGUAUCAUUUUAACGAUGAAAUUCCAAGGGAAAAAAUGUAUGUGGUUUUAUUUCCUUUAUGGCUUUAGUCACUACUUGGGUGAUUUGGUAAAUAAGCAUCAUUUCCAUCUUUCAUCUUCUUCAUACAUUCUAAUGAUUUUGUAUGGCCAAUGGCUGUCGCAUCAGUUGAUACCGGCUAUGGAGGAGACAUUGGUGUUAUGUUCUCCAGGAAUGUUCACUGUAACCAUAGCAAUUGUAUACCAUCACUAAUGCCGUGUAUAGCUUUCAAAGGAUUGAAUGAUGAACGUGAAUUAAAAGCAGCCAUGUUUGUCGAAAGCUUAAUUUUACUAUAAAGCCCCUCUCAAAAAUGUGAUGAAAGCCCCAACUGAAUUUGAGAGCAGCCAAACAAGUUGCUGCCAAUAUGGAGUUUAUACACCAAAAUGAAUAUCGCUGAAUUCACAUAGUGAUGUACAUAUAUUGUAAAUGGAUAGAGAAUAACUGUGAUAUCAUAAAGACUUCAAUUUUCUUAGAAAAUAAUAAAAUUUAAAAAGGUUUUAAUAA